rnacentral:rRNA from 1 species
GUCUACAGCCUUGCCACCCUGAACGUGCCUGAUCUUGUCUGAUCUCAGAAGCUAAGCAGGAUUGGGCCUAGUUAGUACUUGGAUGGGAGACCACCGAGGAAUACCGGGUGCUGUAGGCA